CCUCUAUACAAAAAUCAGAUGAUAUAUAUACAUAUAUAUAAUUAUUGUUAUUACAAUAAUUAAAAUGAUUUAAAAUUGAAUACAUAUUUAUUUUUUCGAUUUAAAAUUUAAGAGAUUAUAAAUAAAAAUAAACAUUAAAUCAAAAUAUACAUACAUCGUAAGUUACAUAUCACCUUGACUUUAUUAUUAUUAUUAGAACUAUAUAAAAUUACCAUCUACCACCUAAAUCCCAUCCUCUUAAGUUACAUAUUUAUUUUUAUUAGAACUAUACAGUAACUGUAUUUGAAUCAAUGACUUAACAAUAACUAACCAACUCAACCGUUUAAUAGACUCGACUAAUCUAUUUAGCGAAGCAUUAAGCACUGAACGAACUCGAAGCCGAAGAACAUUAAACAAGUACAUUGGAAGUAUGGUGCAUACAUAACGAGCAAACCAGUGGGACGGCGACGGAGCCGACUGAAGGCUGAAGGCUGGAGCUGAGAAACUGACAGAGGAAGAGGGAGACCGACGGGCAGCGGCACUGGAGGUCACUGAGCGGGGUGGGGGAUGUCUCUGUAAAUGUGUGAAUGGGUGGGUGGGGGAAUUGAGGUUGCAGAACUUGCAGAACGAAGAGAAGCAAAAAGCACGAUGUUGUACCUCAGAUCUCACCGGAGUUGGUGAGCGGCACUUAAGGGGAAGGGGAAGGGGAAGGAGAAAGGGAAUUAGGGGAUUGGGGAUUGGGGAUUGGGGAGGGGAAUAAGGCCUAAGGGGUAUGUUAAAACUUUUAGGUUAAAAUAAUCGGCUAAAAUUUUCUAUUAAUCCCUGUAUUUUAUGAAAUUUUUGGAUUCAGUCCCAAUACUUUAAAGGGUAAACUAUCAAAAUAGUCACUUUUGUUUGUCUUAGGUUACAUUUUAGUCACUUAUGUUUGAA
rnacentral:lncRNA from 1 species